UAGCUCGGUUGGUAGAGCGCUCCACUGGAAAUGGAGAGGUCCCGGGUUCGAUACCCGG
rnacentral:tRNA from 1 species